rnacentral:rRNA from 1 species
AUGGCUUGCCAUCAAAGAUCCGCAAGUUUGCCUUACUCCAGUGAAUCCAAAGUGGAGGUGGAUCUGCAGGGCCUGAGGUCAUGCAUCUCUUCACCCUCCGCAACCAUCGACACAAUGUGUGGUGGUUACGCAAGGCUUGGAGACAUCUACAAGUGCAUAGAGGAGAUCAUGGGCUUGCCCAGCAACCAAAUUAGCCUCUCCUUCCCCCAAAACAAGAAAAUGGUAGAAGAGGAAUUGGAGAGAUCCCUCGUGCUGAUUGAUCUCUGCAAUUCCAUGCAAGAGAAUUUAGCAGAGCUGAAGAUGAGUACCCAGGAGCUGCAACUGGUUCUCAAAAGAGGAGAUGAUGCAUCUGUUCAACUCAAGGUUGAGUCUUUCAUUCGCCUUGCCAAGCAGGCGCAGAAGCCUUUCAAGAAGAUCGCAAGCAGCAAAGCUAGUGGUGAAGAUUGCAGGCUGGUCAGGCUACUGGCGGAAGGUAGAGAGAUGUCUGUCUCUCUACUCGAGUCCACGUCGCAGCUGUUGCCAAAGCAGUUCGCCACCACCAAAGGAAGCAAGUGGUCUCUUGUCCAGAAGAAAAAGGUCGUUUGCGAGGAGGUACAGUUGCAAGCGCUAGAGCGAAACAUGGGAGAUCUUGAGAACGGUGCGGAGCUUCUGUUCAGGAGAUUGAUCCAAAGCAGGGUUUCACUCCUGAACAUUCUCAGCUCGUAG